UACAGAGGGGGCAAGCGUUGUUCGGAAUUACUGGGCGUAAAGGGCGCGUAGGCGGCCUUCUAAGUCGAACGUGAAAUCCCUGGGCUCAACCCAGGAACUGCGUCCGAUACUGGAAGGCUUGAAUCCGGGAGAGGGAUGUGGAAUUCCAGGUGUAGCGGUGAAAUGCGUAGAUAUCGGAAGGAACGUCGAUGGCGAAGGCAGCCACCUGGCAUCAUACUGACGCUGAGGCGCGAAAGCGUGGGGAGCGAACAGG
rnacentral:rRNA from 1 species